UUCUGUUUCUAUGGGGAAGAAUGGAUUCAAAGGGCUGUUUUUCUGUUUGUUCUCUCUUUCCUUACAGGCAGGUGGGCUAUAUGCAUGUUCCAGGCUGCUGUUUGCCGUGGCCCUGGAGGACCUCACUGGAGAACAAAUAUUGAUGCUUUGUUAGCGCACACAGACAUUCUCGGCAAUGCUGAUUAGCGCUUGGGGCUGAUCCGACCAAGGUCAGGGGCUUGUGCCCCCUCAAACUGCACCCAUUAGCUUCUCUUAGAGAAGCCCGGAGACGACACGCCUGGCGGUGGGAGGGGGCUUUCCAGUCCACCAGCAUGGACCCGAAUGCUCAGGCCUCCCUGCCUCUAAGGCUUUCACCUUCCAUGGCUUCAGAGGAUCGCAUGAGGUCAACACCAGCUAAGACGUGUGAAGCCCUUGACACAGAGCUCAGCAGAGACAGGAUGCUCAGUCCAUGGGAGCCAUGAUGAUGAUAAUGAUUAUUAACAUGUUCCCAAGGUGGCCUUCGUCUGCUAAGCGUCUUUUCAACUCUCUUUUUUCCAUUCCCGGGAAUGAUCGAUAAGAUGUUUCAUUUAAGUACCAAGCAAUCUAGAAACCGCGCAGGAGCACAGGCGCCAGGAAGCAGGAAAGCUUGAAAUUAACAGGCGGCCAUAGAAAGUCUCCUCUCAACGUGGACCAGCUACACUUGAAGUGCUCAAGAGCCACACUCAGCUGGUCGCUACCUUACAGAUGGCGCAGGUCCAGAAGAUGGGCCUCAGAACUGAGUCUGACCUGUUGUGAGUUUUAAAAUAAACAAGACGUGAAAAGCGCUUAGCAGCGCCCCUGAGUGUCCUUAGCACCCAGUAAAUACGAGCUGCCAUUAUUAUCAGAAAACCAAUGUCCAAACAGCUCAAUCAGAAAGGAGGACCACCAUCCAUGGCCCGAAUUUACGACAUUUUCUCGUUCAAAUCCUUUCCACAGAAACGACCCUGCACACGGCUAUUGGGGGGAUUUCUUAAGUCUCUGGGUAAAGCUACGGAAAACAAAUGGUGGCUCCAGGAGCUGGUCCUUAAAGCAAUCGGUGAGUCCCAAGAUUAAAAUUCAACUGCAGCCAAAUUCUGCUAUAAACAGCUUCCCUCCACCUGGGGUCCGGGAGGCGGGCAGACGCAGUCCCCUCUCCUGGGCAUCCACCCAUGAAAGCCCCGCCUCACGGCAUCACCCAAAGCUGUCAAUUACCCGUCAUGCCCGCCCGGCUCCCAGCUACAGCAGGCUUUUACAGUCCGUCUGUAAGGCGCUCUCAAUUUGUGGCCGGACCUUCCUAAGGCUUGUUCUUACCCAGCAAUCCAAAUAAAAAUAGUGCUAUUGAUCACAAAGGCAUCAAUAACGUCAGCCCUAAAGCUACUCGUGCACAUUUUUAAUUGUCCUGUCCCUUUUUAUAUCUUUAAAUAUCACCAUAAGCUUCUAGGAGACAGGCUUCCUCUCCUUGGGAGGGAGGAAAGCGCUCUCCCCGCUCAGCUGAAAGCAGUCGGGAUUGUACCUCACACUGUUAAUGAUGGCGAGGUCCCUUUUCGUGAAGAAGAAAAUAAACCACCGGCUGACCCCACUUUGGGCCCGGUGUUAGAACGCAGAGGAAAUGCUGUCCCAUUACGCCUAAUUUCUCAUUGUUUUCCCGACUGGUUCACAUCCCAGCAAUUAUGCUUCAUUUGCUGGAACAGAGAACAGUAAAAUGCCCAGCUGGUAGGCAAUCCCCCCGUGAUUAAAGCAUGGGCCGAUCAGAAAGCUGACGUCCAAUAGAUUAAUCAAGAAAUAAGGAAGGAAUGCCUGUGUUUGAUGCUUGUGAAUCUGCACAUGUGGAUCUCCAGAUGUUUCAACUUAAUUUUUACCGCCAUAAAAACUAAGAAAGAGAAAACGGGAGUGAUGCCAACAGCCAGGCAAACGCCCCCAGCAAAGCGACCAUUCGGCAGCCUCUGGAAUCUUCUUCUCAUGUCUGGUGGAAGGCAGGCUCCUCCCCAGAGCCGUAAGCAGGGCCUUCCUGGGGCCUCUCGAAGUGUGUGCAACGUGGAGAAAAAUUAUCGGCUCCGAAAUUUGACAAGAAAGCAGCAAAAUCAAAAUUAAUAAAUGCUUCAUUAAACGCCUGCCAAAUACAGCAAUGAGGCCUCCUCGGCGCUUGUUGGAUGCAGUAUUCACGAUGCGGUCGUCAUAAAAACUUCAUUACAUUUGAGAAAACAGCUACGAGAACUCCUAAGGAUGCUAUUGGUUGUGGGGGGAAUCACAGGUAAUUCCGACUUUGAUGAAUUACCCACCACCAGAUAAUUUAAGAAGCUGAAUCAUUAAACUCCUUUCAAAUAUUUUUACUGCAAAUAAAUUGUAGUUAAACUAAAGUGUGGGUGUGUUUUAAUUUGUUUGAGACGAUGGGAGCGAGGCCUCCAAAUGGAAGACUGCCUGGAGCUUACCAAGGGCUUACAGGAGCUUAAGUCUGCAUCCUCCAGAUGCUACCCGUGGGCUGGGGGCCCUGCUCCCUCACACCUGAACAGCUCAGGUAGUGCAGGCCACCUGUAGGGACCGAGGGGCUCUCUCAAUGAAGGCCAUCUCCACCGGUCCAGUCUCCGUCAUCUUUGACAUUCUUGGGCUUCAAAGGCCAGUUUCUCCCACCCACACCCCUCCUGAAAUCAGCUAACUACUUCUGCUGCCGUUCGCCGGCGUGCCCACGGCUGAGGGGAUGAGGUGGUGAUGACAUGCUCACUUAGGUAGGGACAUUUCUAAGCAGCGUGAGAGAGCUGAGUAACCACCUGCUUUGCAGGCACAAUUCAAACGGGCACCUGGGAGGCAGGCCACAAUGACUGGUUGACUUGUUGCCCAGGCAAUGUGUGUGCCGGGCAAAAAGAUGCUCCCUAAGUCAGAACGGCUCCACUCUCCACCAUCCCACAGUCUUGCUCGCCCAGCCAGAGGGCCUGAGGCUUUUAAUCUCCCCAGUCAACAUGAAGGGAUACCAAAGGGCAGCCUUGGAAGAGCUCAGGGGACUGCACAGCUCCAUGAAUUGCCACCAGAGCAAUUUUGCUCCCCAGAGCCAUUUGGCCAAGUGUGGGGACAUUUUGGGUUGUCACAACUAGGCGAGAAGGGGCUGCCACCGGCACCUAGUGAGAUGCUGUUAUACCUCCUACAAGGCAUAGGAUGACUCCACAAUACGAAAGCCCUAGUCCCAGAUGUCAGGAGCACCGCGGUGGAGAAACCCUGCCCUGGAAACCUGGAAACCGAAGCAGCCUGCCCCUCGCAGGGGCUUUCUUGUGGACUAUUUACAACUAGGAGGGCAGGAAAACUCAAGCUGAGGGACCUCACAAAUCCACGGCAGACAGUGUACCCAGGUCUCCAGGCCGGAGGAGAAACUGUGUGGGGUCUCAUGGGCUGCAGAAAAUCCACUGUUUUGGCAGCUCUUGCAACUGGACAUAUUUUUGAUGGAGUCAAAUGAGGUUGUGAAUCACCAGCUUUCAAGAAGAAAGAGCUCUCCAUUUCUGAGUCAUAAAUUAAGGACCAGGCCUCUUGGCGUCCUCAAACCUCCCCCAGCGUGCUCACGCCGUUUCUUCUGUGUGAGCAACAUUCUUUUCUUUCACGUAGAUUUCCCUUUUCAGGAGAGUUCCUUCUGUCUGGGGCCAGUUUUAGAUUAUUCUUUCAAAUAAAAUAACUGCAGAAGAGAUUAAUCAUAGCCUGAAAUUGAAAGGGAGGAAGCCACAUCCCAUUGUGACCUUCUAAGUUCCAUUGUGACUGCCUGCCCAGCCUCAGAUGAAGUCUGGCUCUGGGAGGGUGGUAAUUUUUGCAAAGUGGUCCUCAGUUCUGAAUUCCACUCACUGUGGUCACUAUGACAGCUUCUUGGAUUUGCGAAUUAAGCGGCGACCUCAUAACUAUUAGUUUGGAGCCUGACAAUGAAAAUAGUGGUAAUAAAUACUGCUCAUCAGCAACUUUGCUAUCAGAUAUAAUUUGGGGACUGUUGGUGGAAUUGCCUUCUGCUGGCAAAGGCAGAGAUUAGCACUCUGAAAAGCAGUGACUAAUUCCUGUGUUACUGUGAGCCAGGUAGAUAUUAACUCUAUUUUCCAGGAGAUGAAACUAACACAGAAAGGUUAGGUGAGGCUUGCCCCGCUCCACAGGGAACCGGUCCUGGGGUGGAAAUUAGAGCCCCAAUGUGGUGGGCAUCAACAAGAGGUAAAACGUUCAUCCACAUGAUAGAUUACAGUUGGAAACCCUGCAUCCGUGUUCAGGCAUGAAAGCACAACACAACCACAGAUUGGAAUGAAAGUAGGAUGGAAAAGAGAACAGAAGGAACUGCUCCGG